GGAGUUGUGGCUCAGUGGUAGAGCAUUUGCCUCACACAUAUGAGGCACUGGGUUCGAACCUCAGCCCCA
rnacentral:tRNA from 1 species